rnacentral:misc_RNA from 1 species
GAAAAGUUCUGCUCAAGAUGUCUGAAGUUUCAACUUUGUUUGGAGAGUCUGUUCCAGACCAGCUCUAUAUUCCUUAUGUACUAAGGACUCCUGAUCUUUGUACUAUGCAGCAGGAUGACUCAGACGAUCUCAAAGUGGUAGGAGAGACAUUAAACGACAUUGUUGGCGUAACAAGGUCCACUUUAGACGCAAGGAAGAUUGUGAUAAACGUAUGUGACACAAUUGUGAAACGAGGUGGAAGACUAGCUGGGGCUGGCAUUGUUGGUAUCUUGCAAAAAAUGGAUCAAGAUUCAGAAGGCCUCAUCUUUGGAAAGAGGACUGUGGUUGCCAUGGAUGGUGGGCUGUAUGAGAAUUACCCACAGUACAGAAAUUAUCUCAAAGCCGCUGUUACAGAG